GUGCUGGCUUCGGCAGCAGAUAUACUAAAAUCGGAACGGUACAGAGAGGAUUAGCAUGGCCCCUGUGCAAGGAUGACACACAAAUUCAUGAAGCAUUCUGUAUUUUU
ensembl:snRNA U6 U6 spliceosomal RNA